rfam:Triticum aestivum genome assembly, contig: Triticum_aestivum_CS42_TGACv1_scaffold_147079_2BS
AACCUACUCCCUCCGUCCCAAAAUACUUGUCGGAGAAACUGAUAAAACUGGAUGUAUCUAGAACUAAAAUAUGCCUAGAUACAUCCAUUUCUCCGACGAGUAUUUCUGGACGGAGGGAGUACAAA